GUCUUUGUUUCAAUGGCACAUAUAUCCAAAUUUGAAUGGUCUAGAGAAUAUUAGCAUGGCCCUUGAACAAGAAUGAACAAAUUAGUGAAAUUUGUCCAUUUCUU